rnacentral:rRNA from 1 species
UACGUAGGGACCAAGCGUUGUUCGGAUUUACUGGGCGUAAAGGGCGCGUAGGCGGCGCUGUAAGUCACUUGUGAAAUCUCCGGGCUUAACUCGGAACGGUCAAGUGAUACUGCAGUGCUAGAGUCCGGAAGAGGCGAGUGGAAUUCCCGGUGUAGCGGUGAAAUGCGCAGAUAUCGGGAGGAACACCAAUGGCGAAGGCAGCUCGCUGGGACGGUACUGACGGCUGAGGCGCGAAAGCGUGGGGAGCAAACAGG